rnacentral:misc_RNA from 1 species
AAGAGCCCUUCUUUUCUCCCCAAAGAUCAGUCAACAAAUCCUAAAUCACUCUUCCUUAAUUUAAGCAAUAGACUCCUUAACUUUAAAUACCUAACACACCAUAAAGGAUUUAGCCAGUAAAUUAUGUUCUAUAUUGGUUAGAUAAAACAAGUCUAAUUCCAUGUAAUUCGGCAUAAAGUGUUUGGCUGCAACCUGAACAAAAUAGUUAUGUAGAAAAGGUCUUAAGCUGUGAAUCUAUCCUACACAAAUGAAAUUUAAAAAAGGUCUUAAUUUCUGAUGUACCAAAAUAAAAGGUCUCAUGCCAUGUGGUGGGUGCUGCAUAGAGAGUGCUUGGCUGCCACCCAAAUAGCAUGAGUUAUGCAGAAAAGGUCAUAUGCUAGUUUUGGCUCCAUCAAUCUCAGUAUCAAGCCUUGGUGGUCAUGGUUUUCACAUCCAAAUAUAAAUAAUCUUGAAAUCAUAAACAAGAUAACAAAGAUAAAAAA